rnacentral:rRNA from 1 species
UUACUGAGUACUACACUCUCUACCCUUUGUGAACUAUUAUACCUGUUGCUUCGGCGGCGCCCGCAAGGGUGCCCGCCGGUCUCAUCAGAAUCUCUGUUUUCGAACCCGACGAUACUUCUGAGUGUUCUUAGCGAACUGUCAAAACUUUUAACAACGGAUCUCUUGGCUCCAGCAUCGAUGAAGAACGCAGCGAAACGCGAUAUGUAAUGUGAAUUGCAGAAUUCAGUGAAUCAUCGAAUCUUUGAACGCACAUGGCGCCUUCCAGUAUCCUGGGAGGCAUGCCUGUCCGAGCGUCGUUUCAACCCUCGAGCCCCUGUGGCCCGGCGUUGGGGAUCUGCCACGGCAGGCCCCUAAAACCAGUGGCGGACCCGAAGGCCCUCUCCUUUGCGCAGUAGCAUCAGCCUCGCAUUGGGAUCCCUCGGCGUCCUGCCUCUAAACCCCCCACAAGUCCGCUCCGGCGGCACCAAGGUUGACCUCGGAUCAGGUAGGAAUACCCGCUGAA